UUCAACCAACCAACAGCAGAUCAAAAAUAUUUUGGGGGAAAAAAACUCCAGAAUGUUCCAAAAAGCAAAACUUGAAUUUGCUGAGUGAUGACAAUCUUCUUAUCUUCUUUGAAGCCAUCCAACGAUUGGGGUAUGUAUUAGAAUGAUGACCUUUUCUAAACUACCUCGUGCACUUAAUCCAUUAUACGAAUGUACACUAUUCC